GCUUUCUCUAGUUGUGGUGAGCAGGGGCUGCUCUCUAGGUGCAGUGCUCAGGCUUCUCGCUGUGGUGGCUUCCCUUGUUGGGGAGUAAGGGUUCUAGGUGUGUGGGCUCUGCAAUUGCUUGUGAGCCCAAUUUCUUUGAAAAUCAGGUGUCCAGCCACUGUGAGCUCAAGCUGGCCAUGCUUACCAGUGGAGGGACAUACCACCUAGAGCAAGCCACUCAGCCAGAGAUCUGCAAUGGUGCAGCCACUUUGAGACCUCCUGGCCUGUAACUGCUGGCAUGAGCUCUCCCUGAAGUGUCAAGGACAUCCUAAAUUCCUAAAAUUCAAAGACCAAAUCUGGUGCCAAAUUUUUGUGCUGAGAAAUUUCUAGCUUGGGUUUGGGGAACACGGGUGGUUUCCUGGGUUCAACAAAUAAUCAAGAUUCUCUCCAGGAAGUCAUCACUGAUACCCAGGUCAGAGCCAAGAUCAGGAUCAUUUUACAAGAAUUACAAGAGAAAAGAGGCGGAAGUAGAGAAAGGGAGGCAGCGUUGAUCCACACUCCAACAUUACAAAGUCAGAGGGACUUCUGAUACACACCUGGGAGAACAGCCAGGACCAGCACACGAAUCUAAGACUUAGGAUCUGGUUCAGCCACUCACCGGCUCUGUGCCUGGGAUUAGUGACAUCCCUCUCUGAGCUCCAAUUGCUGAAGCAUGUUAGUCACGGCUGUGCCCGACUCUUCAUGAUCCCAUGGACUGUAGCCCACCAGGCUCCUCUGUCCAUGGAAUUCUCCAGACAAGAAUACUGGAG
ensembl:lncRNA